ensembl:lncRNA
UAUGGCCAAAUGUUUUGUUUAUUACAGACAGUAAGAGGAAAUUAACAUAACUCAGAUUCAUGCACUUUUAUUUGAUCAUUAAAUUGAUCAAAAGUGAGAGUAAAACAUUUAUAAUGUUUCAAAAGAUUUCUAUUUCAAAUAAAAGCUGUUCUUUUGAACUUUCUAUUCAUCUCUGAAUCCUGAAAAAUAAAAUGCAUCAGUUUCCUCAAAAAUAUUGAGCAGCACAACUGUGUUCAACAUUGAUAAUAAUCAGAAAUGUUUCUUGAGCAGCAGAUCAGCAUAUUAUUAUGAUUUCUGAAGAUCAUGUGACACUGAAGACUGGAGUAAUGAUGCUGAAAAUACAGCUGCGCAUCACAGAAAUAAAUUACACUUUAACAGAUACUCACAUAGAAAACAGCUGUUUUACAUCACAAUAAUAUUUCAUCCAUUUUUACUGUAUUUUGAUCAAAUAAGUGCAGCCUUGAUGAGCAGAAGAGACUUCUUUCAAAAAAAAAAAAAAAAAAAACUCUUACUAACCCCAACAUUUUCGAUGGCUAUGUACAGUUUGGAUUUAUUCCUUGGUUUUAUUAAUGUUUAAUUCUGUUAAAAAUAAAACAGCUGUGGCACAGAAAACCUGGGAAUAUCAGGCAUUUCAGUUUGAAAAAUGAUGGCAAUAUUUAGUAAGACUUUUUCUAUUAUUACUUGUAUGUAAAAACUGAAAGAGCCAGAAGAGGCUCUUGUGGAUUUGCGUGUUUGAAUUACAAAGCAAGAAAGUGGGAGAGAGCUGACGAAGGCAAGGGAAUGGUUCUGUCCAUCUGUGAAGCGCUCGUUUGACGACAGACUGUGAGUUUGUCCCGCUCCUGAGACAGAUGGUUGCUGGGGGACUCUGAUAACAGGACAGCAGGUCAACGCCGAGGCUGCGCUCCAACUCAACAUGUGUGUUUAUCUGUCAUGUCCAAAUGUCAUAUUCAAGUGCUGGAGGUUUAUUAGCCACAGAAUCUGGUGCGAAUCAUCGGCGUCAUCAGGAAAAUAUGAGCAGCAUCACGCUGACAAAUCUGCUGCUUUAUUCCCGCUUGUGAAAGUGCUUCUGAACAACUGAACAUCACUGGAAAGACUUCUCUGCUGCAUUCAGAGUCCUUAUUCAUCUGUUAAUAUUACUGCUGUUCAUACUCAUGUGUGAUCUCUGAUGGAUGUAGUGUUUCAGAUCCAGCGUUCACUAAUGGAGUGGAAGAAAAGCUUGAGCUCUGAAACAUGAAAAACAGACUCAGAAAUAAACAAGUGAUUCUCGGUGAAUCUUCUGAACGAUUCAGAUCAUGUCCAGAAAUAUGACCCUUCACCUAGUGAUAAUUAAAGCUUGUCGGUGGCCGCAGGAAGUGAUGCGAUGUCAUUCCCUGAUGUCAUCCGUCUCCCUGGCAACAAUGACAACUGCCAAUGUGACCCAUCAUGAGCGAGAAGAUGAAGAUGAGGGUGAGUUAAGUCAAAAAAGCCAGAUCACUACAGUAAAGGACACCUGCAGUUAUUGGCUAAAACAGCGUCUCCUCGUUAAUUUCUUUCCAUUAAAAACAUAGGUCUACACAUACAAACACUGCAGUUUCCAGCUGAAAUCAACACUAGUGGCAGAUUAUUGAUCAAUAAAGCCUUAUUUUCUUGUGGUUUAGUGCACAAUACAAUGUUAUGAGUGCAAAACACUUCUGUCAUAGUAAAUUAAUACAUUUUGAUAUUUGCAUCACAUAAGCAGCUCCACAUGU